CCGUAUACAAAUGGUGAGGCAAUUUUUCCCAUCGUGCUUACCUUGGCGUCUCUUUUUCUUGGCAAACAAUUCACACGAGUGUUGCCUCUUGAUUUGUGUUUAGAGCGCUCUGGACUGGGCUAAUUCCGUUGUUACGCCCAUCAGCAUCAGCCUCACCUGACUCGCACGACUCAUUCGUGAAUGUUCCACAUCAUGUAUGACCUGGAAGGUUUGGAUUUGGGUGGAAGCAGAUGCCUACACCGGCAUCGACCAUGAUUAGUGUUGGUGCAUGAGGAUCCAAUAGUUAUGUGUGGUAUGAUGCAGGUGUGCUCCCAUCCUCCCGACCUUCUCGCUAUACAUUAUUUUGGCAAACUAACUAUUUGAUUCCUGGACAUCAUAGAUAGAUGUGCUUGAGAUUCACUACCGACCUCAGAUUGGCCAAUUACACAUGGACACGCUUUGCAGCAGUUGAAAGUCCAGGCACAGAAAAUCCUUGGUGCUUACUUACACAUGACUUAAUUGUAUCGUCACGGCAAAUAUGUGCAGCCUGAACAUAAGUGAGCCAUAUCUUAAUGUGAAGGAACUGCGUGGAGUCGUACUACAAUUAUUUUGUAGCUUCUGCAAGGAGUUGAUGGGACUGAGAAAUGUAUUGAUGGGAAAGCUCUUGACAAUUGGUUGAAUGGGAGUAUUCUACAUAAGAUAUCGCGUUUCAUUAAACUAUGGUACACA